rnacentral:tRNA from 1 species
GGAUGCGUGCCCGAACAUUUCAAGGAUUACUUUGAUAGAGUAAACAAUAGAGGUUCAAAUCCUCUCGCCUCC